rnacentral:rRNA from 1 species
GAUGAACGCUGGCGGCGUGCCUAAUACAUGCAAGUCGAGCGAACGGACGAGAAGCUUGCUUCUCUGAUGUUAGCGGCGGACGGGUGAGUAACACGUGGAUAACCUACCUAUAAGACUGGGAUAACUACGGGAAAGCGGAGCUAAUACCGGAUAAUAUUUUGAACCGCAUGGUUCAAAAGUGAGAGACGGUCUUGCUGUAUCUUAUAGAUGGAUACGCGCUGCAUUAGCUAGUUGGUAAGGUAACGGCUUACCAAGGCAACGAUGCAUAGCCGACCUGAGAGGCUGAUCGGCCACACUGGAACUGGGACACGGUCCAGACUCCUACGGGAGGCAGCAGUAGGGAAUCUUCCGCAAUGGGCGAAAGCCUGACGGAGCAACGCCGCGUGAGUGAUGAAGGUCUUCGGAUCGUAAAACUCUGUUAUUAGGGAAGAACAUAUGUGUAAGUAACUGUGCACAUCUUGACGGUACCUAAUCAGAAAGCCACGGCUAACUACGUG